UAGCUUGCUACUGGACCUAGCGGCGGACGGGUGAGUAAUACUUAGGAAUCUGCCUAUUAGUGGGGGACAACGUUCCGAAAGGAGCGCUAAUACCGCAUACGCCCUACGGGGGAAAGCAGGGGAUCUUCGGACCUUGCGCUAAUAGAUGAGCCUAAGUCGGAUUAGCUAGUUGGUGGGGUAAAGGCCUACCAAGGCGACGAUCUGUAGCGGGUUUGAGAGGAUGAUCCGCCACACUGGGACUGAGACACGGCCCAGACUCCUACGGGAGGCAGCAGUGGGGAAUAUUGGACAAUGGGCGCAAGCCUGAUCCAGCCAUGCCGCGUGUGUGAAGAAGGCCUUAUGGUUGUAAAGCACUUUAAGCGAGGAGGAGGCUUACCUAGCUAAUACCUAGGAUAAGUGGACGUUACUCGCAGAAUAAGCACCGGCUAACUCUGUGCCAGCAGCCGCGGUAAUACAGAGGGUGCAAGCGUUAAUCGGAAUUACUGGGCGUAAAGCGCGCGUAGGUGGCCAUUUAAGUCAAAUGUGAAAUCCCCGAGCUUAACUUGGGAAUUGCAUUCGAUACUGGAUGGCUAGAGUAUAGGAGAGGAAGGUAGAAUUCCAGGUGUAGCGGUGAAAUGCGUAGAGAUCUGGAGGAAUA
rnacentral:rRNA from 1 species